GAAAGAGGUAGAGAAAAAUUGAAGGGUUUUAGCUUUUAUACCUUGGCAGCAAUAUUUUGGGCCAGGCCCAACCUAUCCGAAGAAACUCCUCGGCCCAUAAAAAUAUGAACUUGCCAACGGCCCAGGUGAGUCAACCGCGUUGACUCACUGUCAGCUCAGCUCAACAAAUGGACGGUGCAGAAAGCUAGAAACUCAGUGUGUUAGCAUCUCAAGGCAAACCAACGGUCAGAGAUGAGAAGGGUUGGGAUGGCACCCAUAUAUAAAGUCGAGUAAAGGAUCACUUGGGAAUUGAGAUUAGAGAGAGCCGCCAUUGCAAAGUCUGCUUCGGAGUGUCACUAAUGGAGAACAAGGAGAGGAAAGGAUUUUCAGAAGCUUAUAGUGUGGGUGAGUAGGAAAGAUAAGAUUUUUACUCACUUGGUUUGAUCAAACAAAACAAGUGAAAGUGAAAAAAGAGUUGAUCUUUCCUACUCCACCCAUACCAUACGUUUCCGAUUAUUCCUCCCUCUCCUUAGUUUCUUCCUUGCUAAUCUUGGACUGUUCUAGCUGCUGUACUGCCAACUGGGUUUUGUUCAAACUUGUCUGUUUAUGAAUUUUAUUAACUUAAAACCUUUCACGACAGAUUCUGUUGCUGUUUUCUGUGCAGGUUUUGCUAUUAUAUGUGGAUGAAGAACUUCAGUUCUUGGUAGAUCUUAGAAGGUUAAGCUGUGGAAUCUAAGCUAGCUGUGGAGGGGAUCUUUUGAACAAGUCAGAGUGGGGUGUGAAUUGGACUGCUCUUUUGGCUGAAGUCUUACUAAUUUUAGUCUGAUAUUUAAUGUCUUUUUGAGUGUAUUGAAGAACUUUCUUUACGAAUACUGGAUCCAAAAUGUUGAACUAACUAAGCAAGCACUUCCUUUUCUUUUCAUUGUUGGAUUUGUUUUUUGUUCUGCUUGAAUUUCUUUUGUAAAGUACUUAAUCUUACUAAUAUGAUACAUAAAACAUGUACUUUCAGGUUAAAGAUCCUUGAGACUGAUCGUAUGUAAUAAUUUAUUUUACUCUUUCUUUUAAUGAGCAUGGCUUCAAAUUCUUACCAACUUCA